rnacentral:rRNA from 1 species
UGUCUCCACCCCCUAAUCAGUGAAACUGAUCUCUCCGUGAAGAAGCGGAGAUAUCUACAUAAGACGAGAAGACCCCAUGGAGCUUUAAACCCGAUAACACCCAUUUACUUCAUAUCCGUAUACUUUUGGCCCCUGCUUACUCGGUUUUAGGUUGGGGUGACCACGGAGCAUAAAAUAACCUCCCUGAAAAAAGGAAAAAUAAACCUCAUCAGAGAAUGACAUUUCCAAGAACUAAUAAUAUUAAUUUUUAAUGAUCCGACAUUCGAUCAACGAACCAAGUUACCCUGGGGAUAACAGCGCAAUCCACCUCGAGAGCCCCUAUCGACGGGUGGGUUUA